AGCUUGUGAACUGGGAUUGGAGGUUAGAUGUCUUUUCUUUUAAAUCCUAUUAUUGUAUCUGUGUACAUUGACUGUUUACAUUAGAGAAAUACAUCUAAGAAGACCGCAAUUACAAGAUCAAAAGGGCACAAAGGUUGCAAGAGGUGCAGCUUUGUUGCAUUGCUUGAGUGUGGAGCAGAGUGCAUUAAUAUUGCCUUCUUUUGAGUUGUGAACUACUUCUGAGGGAGACCGGAGAUAUUUCUGAUAUGUGCUACUGUGUAAAUCUAAUUAAUAAUGUUGGUUUAAAGGUUGGUUUCUUUGAUCCAGUGUUCUGUUUUUGAGAGUCAAACUUGUGAAUGUGAGAAACUCUUGAAGAACUUCUAAAAACUUUUUAAAAGCUUCAGAAUAUGGGAUAAUCCUCUCUCUCUCUCUCUAGAUUAAUUCUGUGGAAGGGAUUGUGUGUGCGGGUUCUAGGAAUGAUUCUCAUACCCAAGAUUUUGUCCCUGAACAAUUUUAGAUUUGCAAAGCUUAGUUUUCUUCAUUAUUUGACAUGAAUUUUUCAUUCAGUUUUUGAAGCAUUUGUGUUGAAUGAGAAGCUGGA
rnacentral:misc_RNA from 1 species